UUGCUGCCUUAUACCACCAAGUUAUCAUAAGAGCCAUUCCAUUCAAGAGUGGAAACUGAGAAACACCUUGGCCUAUUGGCUAUGGCUAUGUCUUGUUUCAGUAUUUGGUUACUUUGCUAUGAUUGACAAUGAUGGUCAUUAAUGUUUAAUUAUCAUGUACAAAAAGCUGUUGUAAUGCUUUAUUAUUGUAUUGGUUCUUGAAUUUAUCUUAUUUAUUCUACCUUUCAUUAUGGCAUUAUUAUGUCUGUCAUCUUUUUUGCUUAGAGUUUUAACUUCUGGUGGUGUGAUUUUUCUUUAUAUUAUCAAGUCAGUUAUAAAUAAUUACAAGUAAAUUUGUAUACUAAACAUUAAUGAUAACUUGGUUAAAAUGGCAACUGACUUGUUAUUACAAGUGUAAAAAUGUGUUACUAUGUCAAAUAUAUAUAUAUAUAUAUAUAUGUUAUUAAUUUUAUGUCUUGUUUCAGUAUUUGGUUACUUUGCUAUGAUUGACAAUGAUGGUCAUUAAUGUUUAAUUAUCAUGUACAAAAAGCUGUUGUAAUGCUUUAUUAUUGUAUUGGUUCUUGAAUUUAUCUUAUUUAUUCUACCUUUCAUUAUGGCAUUAUUAUGUCUGUCAUCUUUUUUGCUUAGAGUUUUAACUUCUGGUGGUGUGAUUUUUCUUUAUAUUAUCAAGUCAGUUAUAAAUAAUUACAAGUAAAUUUGUAUACUAAACAUUAAUGAUAACUUGGUUAAAAUGGCAACUGACUUGUUAUUACAAGUGUAAAAAUGUGUUACUAUGUCAAA
rnacentral:lncRNA from 1 species